rnacentral:rRNA from 1 species
CGCGUAGGCGGUUUUUAAGUGAGGCGUGAAAGCCCUGGGCUUAACCCAGGAGGUGCGUUUCAUACUGGAAGACUUGAGUACGAGAGAGGAAAGCGGAAUUCCUAGUGUAGAGGUGAAAUUCGUAGAUAUUAGGAAGAACACCAGUGGCGAAGGCGGCUUUCUGGCUCGUAACUGACGCUGAGGCGCGAAAGCGUGGGGAGCAAACAAG